rnacentral:rRNA from 1 species
AAGUUGACUGCCGGUGACAAACCGGAGGAAGGUGGGGAUGACGUCAAAUCAUCAUGCCCCUUAUGAUUUGGGCUACACACGUGCUACAAUGGACAAUACAAAGGGCAGCGAAACCGCGAGGUCAAGCAAAUCCCAUAAAGUUGUUCUCAGUUCGGAUUGUAGUCUGCAACUCGACUACAUGAAGCUGGAAUCGCUAGUAAUCGUAGAUCAGCAUGCUACGGUGAAUACGUUCCCGGGUCUUGUACACACCGCCCGUCACACCACGAGAGUUUGUAACACCCGAAGCCGGUGGAGUAACCUUUUAGGAGCUAGCCGUCGAAGGUGGGACAAAUGAUUGGGGUGAAGUCGUAACAAGGUAGCCGUAUCGGAAGGUGCGGCUGGAUCACCUCCUUUCUAAGGA